CACGUAGGCGGCUUUCUAAGUCAGGGGUGAAAUCCUGGAGCUCAACUCCAGAACUGCCUUUGAUACUGGAGAGCUUGAGUCCGGAAGAGGUGAGUGGAACUCCGAGUGUAGAGGUGAAAUUCGUAGAUAUUCGGAAGAACACCAGUGGCGAAGGCGGCUCACUGGUCCGGUACUGACGCUGAGGUGCGAAAGCGUGGGAGCAAACA
rnacentral:rRNA from 1 species